rnacentral:rRNA from 1 species
UCCUACGGGAGGCAGCAGUGGGGAAUAUUGCACAAUGGGGGAAACCCUGAUGCAGCCAUGCCGCGUGUGUGAAGAAGGCCUUCGGGUUGUAAAGCACUUUCAGCGAGGAGGAAAGGUUGGUAGCUAAUAACUGCCAGCUGUGACGUACUC